rnacentral:misc_RNA from 1 species
UGCCGGUCGGGAGGUCUGAGAUAUAAAUUACUAACUCUUCCCUCUUUUCGCUUCACGUUAUUACUCAAUUCACAGACACCCCAGAAAGAAGAGAGAGAGCGCGCGAGAGCAAGAGAAUCGGAAUACGAAACCCUAUAACUGCGUCCAAAGGAGUUAUUCUUGAUUUCUUGAAUUUUCUCUGUUUAUCUUCUUUAAUGGUAAUUUUACUGGUUCUUAUGUAGAGAUGGCUCGACCGAUUAUGAUGAUUUUACUUUCUCUAUAUGUGGGUAGAUUUGUAUCGGUUUAUAGAUUUAGGGUUGAUGAGUUUUGGUCAGAAUUUUGACUUUUGAUGGGUUUCUCGCUGAGAUUUUGUCUGUUGUUGAUUUGUUAGAUGGGCUUUCUCGUCUUGUCCACAGAUUGUCUGUUGUCGAUUUAUCAGAGUAGCUUAUGAGUUUUGAUACCCUUUAAUGAAGAAGAAAAAACUAUUUUGAUAGGGUUGUACGUCUCUGUAGCAAUUCAAUCCAGUGUUGUCCGUCUCUGAUUUAUGGGUAGUGAAUCAUGUUAUAUGUUUAGAUUUUUACAUGGAAUAAUUGAAUUGUUGCAUUGGUUUAUAUUAAUUUUGGUUCAAUUGUGUUGCUGGGUUAAUCAAAUUGAUGCUACUCUUGUAAUCUAGUAUUUUGUUAAUAAUCGCAGUAUCUGUUUAGUUGAUUUAUAAGAUUUUUGAAUGCUACCUCAUUAAAUUAGUGUCUUCACAUGUGUAUUAGGAUAAGGCAUAGAACAUAAUGUGGCUGAAAGAGGCUAAGAAGCAGGACUAUUAGAAAGUUAAAAGAGUGAAAAAGAAGGUAACUGUAAUUAAAUAAUUGAAUCAAUGCUGUUCGUGAAAUCAUUAGGUUAUAGUGUUCUUUUAUUGGAUUAACUUAAUUGUGGGAUGGAUGCUAUACUUUGAAUGCUUUAUGUCUGACACGUACAUUUUAAUUCUUUCUAGCUGUUGUGUUGAAUUUUUCAGUUUUUGUGUUUCUUUAGUCUUGGGUACUCAUCAGAACAUGGACUAACCACUUACUGUCUUGCAUUCUAGGCUGUGAGUCGCAUGGAAAACAUGAAAGAAGUAGCUAUUGACUCUUCUGCUGUUGAGUCUUUUCCGAGCAUUCGCUCUGGUAGCUAUGCCAACAUUGGAACGAGGCAUUCUAUGGAUGAUGAACACAUUCGGAUUGAUGAUCUAUCCGCUCAUCUGGGUUCUUUCUUCAAGUGGCCAAGUGCUUUUUAUGCUGUGUUUGAUGGUCAUGGUGGGCCUGAUGCUGCUGCUUAUAUCAAGAGAAAUGCUAUGAGGUUGUUUUUUGAAGAUGCCGAGUUGCCACAAACAUCUGAUAUUGAUGCUGUGUUCCUCGACGCAUUGGUGGAUUGCCAUAAGAAGGCAUUUUUACUGGCAGACAUUGCCUUGGCUGAUGAAAGCAGCGUUAGUAGUUCUUGCGGAACAACAGCUCUGACUGCCCUAGUUCUUGGAAGGCAUCUACUGGUUGCAAAUGCUGGUGACUGCCGGGCAGUUUUAUGCAGGAAAGGGGUAGCUGUUGAUAUGUCACAAGAUCACAGGCCUUCUAAUUUGCCAGAGCGCAAGCGGGUUGAGGAGUUGGGUGGCUACAUUGAAGAUGAAUAUCUUAAUGGUUAUCUCUCGGUUACUAGAGCUCUUGGAGACUGGGAUUUGAAACUGCCACUUGGGGCUGCAUCGCCUCUCAUUGCUGAGCCAGAUGUUCAAGAGCUUAUGUUAACAGAGGACGAUGAAUUCUUGAUCAUUGGUUGUGAUGGCAUAUGGGAUGUUUUGUCAAGCCAGGAUGCUGUCAGCUUUGUCCGGCGUGGACUUAGGCGGCAUGAUGACCCGGUGAUGUGGGCCAGAGAACUAGUUAUGGAAGCAUCACGCCUCCAUUCAACUGAUAAUCUAACUGUAGUUAUCAUCUGCUUCUCUUCACCUAUUGUUGUUGAGUCAUGUACCCCUCGGAGGAGGUUCAGGUGCUGCAGUCUUUCUGAGGAAUCUCGAAAUAGAUUGAGAAGCUUGUUGGAAGGCACUUGAACGUGCAGAAAAAUUAUUUUGUAUUUGCAGAAAUUUUUAAUGAUAAAGGAUUUUUGUCUGUUUGUGGCUGUUUCAGAUAGCUAAGAAAAAAAGCAGCCAGCUGUUCUGUAGGGAUAGAAGAGAGGAUACUGGAAUAGCGGUUGCGUCAAGUAAAGAUUAUGUUUCUGGAUUGGUAAAUUUAAUGAGGCCAGAUUAUUUUGCCAUAGUUUCAUAUUCGGUUCAUUUCAAUACGUGCCCAGUUUGUUUUAUUUUCUUUUAUUAAUCAUCUGUCUCGUAUGGAGUUAGAACUGUUGGGUUGGGCAAUAAUUUGAAGUUGAUUUAUGCAUUGAUUUGUUUCUGGCUUUCUGAUUCCAAUUCCAACCACUAGUCAUUUGUGUUGGAUCGUUUAACCUGUGGCAGAGGAGUUUUUGUUCAUUUACUAGUAUGGGUUGGUUUAGUGGCGCACAAAGGCCUCACAAUCUUAAUGGAAGGCGAGGCCAUCUGAUCUGCCCACACAAUCAGUCCACCACGAGACGAGAAAGAGUGAAGGUAGGAUAUCUGAGGCCACCAUUUUCUGGAGUUUAUACCUUCACCUUGUACAUUAUCAACAAAGAAAUUCCAAAUAAUGGACCUGUGGUGUUAUUCCAUGCUACAUGUUCUUUGCCCACAUAUCAUUGCCCAAUCGCCCUCUUUCUCUCUCAUUUUGGGGCUUGGCCCCGUCAAACCAUUUGAUUUGGGGGACUGAAUAUGAUUAAUGGCUGGAACUCUAGAAAAAGAUCCAGCCGUUGAAUCAAAAUCACUUUCAACGAUUUAGGUUGAAGGUGGACCUGCUCAUCAAGGGUCGGGAUCCGUUCAUUUUAUGAUACAGAAGAAAAUUGCCAGUCAAAUUGACCGAGGCAAACGAAAGGCUUUGAUUGCAUCAGAUUCUCACUUGUAACCGACGCACGAAUACACCAGAUUGCUCUGAACUAUAAAUAAAACAAAGAGAACUCACGAAUAUUCUUGGGCCGGUGAAUUGUCAAAAGCCGCAGUCUCAUCGUCAUGAUACAAAAUAGAAAGAGAACUUACACUGUGUAGAUACCAGAACAAUAAAAAAUGGCGAUGGCAAGCUUCGCGAGAAGAAAGGCAUACCUUCUUGCUAGAAAUUUCUCCAAUUCCAACCCUGAUGCUCUCAGGUACUCUUUCUCGCUCACCAGCUUCUCUCGUGGCUUCGCCUCCUCGGGAUCUGAGGAGAACGACGUCGUUGUCAUCGGCGGCGGUCCCGGCGGCUACGUCGCUGCUAUCAAGGCCGCUCAGCUCGGACUCAAAACCACUUGCAUCGAGAAACGUGGAACUCUCGGUGGCACCUGCCUCAACGUUGGAUGCAUCCCUUCUAAGGCACUUCUUCACUCCUCCCAUAUGUUCCAUGAAGCUCAGCAUUCAUUUGCCAGCCAUGGUGUGAAGUUUUCAUCUGUUGAAGUUGAUUUACCAGCUAUGAUGGCUCAAAAAGACAAAGCUGUUGCUAACCUGACACGAGGUAUUGAAGGUUUAUUUAAGAAGAACAAAGUGAACUAUGUGAAAGGGUAUGGCAAAUUCAUCUCCCCCUCUGAGGUGUCUGUAGACACAAAUGAAGGUGGAAACACUGUUGUGAAAGGCAAGAAUAUUAUAAUUGCGACUGGCUCUGAUGUCAAAUCUCUACCUGGGAUCACCAUUGAUGAAAAGAAAAUUGUAUCAUCUACCGGUGCUUUGGCUUUGUCUGAAAUUCCUAAGAAGCUUGUGGUCAUUGGGGCAGGCUACAUUGGGCUUGAGAUGGGCUCAGUUUGGGGCCGGCUUGGUUCAGAAGUAACUGUUGUUGAGUUUGCUCCAGAUAUCGUCCCAAGCAUGGAUGGGGAAAUUCGCAAGCAAUUCCAGCGUACGCUUGAGAAGCAGAAGAUGAAAUUCAUGCUCAAAACUAAGGUGGUUGGAGUUGAUAGUUCUGGAGAUGGUGUAAAGUUGACGCUUGAGCCAGCAUCUGGUGGUGACCAGACAACACUUGAAGCUGAUGUGGUUCUUGUUUCUGCUGGUAGGACUCCAUUCACUGCUGGACUUGGGCUGGACAAGAUAGGUGUGGAAACAGAUAAGGUGGGACGAAUUCCAGUGAAUGAAAGGUUUGCAACAAAUGUAUCUGGAGUUUAUGCAAUUGGGGAUGUGAUUCCAGGACCAAUGUUGGCCCACAAGGCAGAAGAGGAUGGAGUUGCUUGUGUGGAGUUCAUAGCUGGUAAACAAGGCCAUGUAGAUUACGACAAGGUCCCUGGAGUUGUCUAUACACACCCUGAGGUUGCUUCUGUUGGUAAGACAGAGGAGCAGGUUAAGGCACUUGGUGUUGAUUACAGGGUUGGGAAGUUUCCUUUCGUAGCAAAUAGCCGUGCCAAGGCAAUUGAUGAUGCUGAAGGGAUAGUCAAGAUAUUGGCUGAGAAGGAGACAGAUAAAAUAUUGGGAGUCCAUAUCAUGGCCCCUAAUGCUGGUGAGCUCAUUCACGAGGCAGUACUGGCCCUUACGUAUGAUGCUGCAAGUGAGGAUAUAGCACGUGUGUGCCAUGCACAUCCAACAAUGAGCGAGGCAUUGAAGGAAGCUGCCAUGGCUACACAUGACAAGCCCAUACACAUAUAAAAUAUUGAACAGUAAUUGUUUUUCAUUUUUGUCUUCAGGAUUUUGCAAGUUUAGCAAAAACUUGACCUUUUCUAAUGUUUUUGUCAUUGAAGCAGAUGAAAUGCUUGAAUAGAAAUUUGCCGUUGUUCAUUUCCUUGCAGAAUAAUUUCAUGUGUUAACAUUGUCGGAUGACAUGAGAUGUACUUUGAUCUAAUGGGCAAUAAUCAAUCGGAAGGAGCUAGUAUGUAUGGCCG